CCGUACUUAGAGUAAGUUUUUUUUUUUAAUAUUUGGUUGUAUAUUAGUAUUAAGUGUCACAUGUUAGUAAAUUUAUAGUUUAUCUACACGUGGCAGGGAACACUUACAAAUUUUACAAAAUCAACAUCCGGAAUCAUCAGAUUUUUCUGAGAUGCAACAGUCUACAUUCCCGGAUUGGUUCGAGAGAUGUAUGUGCUAAAUCCAUCUCAAAUUAAUGAGGAGUUAUAUGCACUGUCUUGCCUUCCUGAUAGUCGAGUUUCGUCACAAAGGGGAUACAUAGUGAACGGAGUAAAAUUUUUAGUUAAGUCAAGCGAUGACUGCAGACAAACACAAAAUUGUGGAGUUACGGUACCGGGCGUUCAUAAUGAUAUCGAGGACGAUUACUAUGGAUACCUUGAUGAAGUCAUUGAAUUGUCAUUCAUAAGAGGUUAUCAUAUUAUUUUAUUCAAAUGCACAUGGUUUGAUACUGAUCGACGAAGAAAGCACGUGAUAUUUGAACCUCAUUUCAUAAGCAUAAACACGUCCCGACAUGCUUAUAAGGAUGAUCCUUUCAUUUUAGCAAACCAGGCAAAACAAGUGUUUUAUAUAAAUGAUAUACUUAAACCAAAUUCACAAUGGAAAAUCAUUGAAAGAAUUACCCAUAGGCACUUGUGGGAUAUUCCAGAAAAUCAGAAUGAAGA
rnacentral:lncRNA from 1 species